rnacentral:rRNA from 1 species
UACGGAGGGUGCAAGCGUUAUCCGGAUUCACUGGGUUUAAAGGGUGCGUAGGUGGGAAUGUAAGUCAGUGGUGAAAUCUCCGUGCUUAACACGGAAACUGCCAUUGAUACUAUGUUUCUUGAAUUAUCUGGAGGUCAGCGGAAUAUGUCAUGUAGCGGUGAAAUGCUUAGAUAUGACAUAGAACACCAAUUGCGAAGGCAGCUGGCUACAGGUGGAUUGACACUGAGGCACGAAAGCGUGGGGAUCAAACAGG